UCCCAGAGCACAAGCAAGGCAUCUUGCCAUGUACUCCCUGCCCUCAUUUUGUUUUUCUGGCAUGCCAGCACUCCGGCACUUUCCAAGGUAGGCAUUGUGCAGUUUUUUGGCA